GUGUCCUGUAGGCCUCUUACUACUCCCAACUUGUCUAUAACACAUCUCAUCAUUUGUCACUAACCCUCCUCAAGUUACCAUCUUUCCAGAGAAAGUGCUACAACCUCUACAGAGAAGUUGAUACAGGUGUCUCCACUAAGAUCCUUGUGAGUGCACACAACUUCAAUCUUUAUUUGCCUCUUGAUGCUUGAUUGAGAUGUCAUCCAUUCUAUGACUAAUGUCCUAUCAGAAACACUCUCCUGACUAUGAGGCAUUCGAUGGAGUUGGCGAGUGUUGGAAGGAAGCACACCCCAGAAGACAGGAAAAGAUGAGACGCCAGUGUGCACAAAGACAGGGCAAUGCACAGCGAGUCCUAGGACCUGGAGGGCCACGGUGCAAGAGACCAGUGCAGGAAAAGCAGAAGAUCCCACUGGAAACACUGAACUCCACCAGGCUGCUGCACAGGUUGGCAGGGGGUGGGCGCAGGACUGGGGUGGGAGUGAAAAGGCAUCCCUUGGCCAGCAGUGGAGUAUGGAGGAGUAAGACAGGAUCUACUACAACUAUAGAACUCUCCAGCCUGGGCUGUUGCUCCAAGGAAAGAAACCACACAUCUGGAUGCAGCUGUUCUGGUCUGUUUUCCACAGCGCUUCAGCCAUUUGCACAGAUGGGAGAUUUCCCGCCGUUACAGGUGGAGCACAGAUUCUGGGGGUCCGUGACUUGCCCAAGAGUAGCAGGAAGCUGGCUCCCUUCCUGUGGCACUGAUGGACUGAUGAAGGGCAGGGGCUCUGGAUGCGGUGAGCUCACUGUUCCUGUGUGACAUGAGCACCCACUGGGUCAUCUUCAGAGUAAUGGGCACCGGGGCUUCUUAGGUGGUCUUCUCCUCCCAAAUAAACAGUGAAAUGACAAAAUG